CUGACACACACUGAUUCUUUUGUGAAAGGGGUGUGGGGGGGAGUGAAACAACUUGGAAUCCAGCAGUUGAAGCAGCUUCCAAGCAAAGAAAAUUCAAUGGGAAAGCCAGCAGGAAGUCAUUCCCAUUCCCACCACUCUAUGUGUGGUCACUUUAUUUAUCUGUUUAGAUCUGGAGAGACUGAAGCCCCGUGAAUAUACGUGGCCUUCAAAAUGCUCAUGCCAUCCAGAAAUUGUCAAAAGUUUCUACCAAAUUUAGCUGUUGCACCUUAUUUUUGGAUUCUCAAGAAAGAGGAGAAAAUGACUUCUUCUUACUUGACAAUGUAACUGAGAAAUGGGAAGGCAUUUUCAAGCCAGCCAUGCCAGAGACGUGUACCUGCAAAACAGCAGCAGCCCCAGGAGAGCAGUCAGAAAAGCUCUAUUUUUCAGACCUGAUUUUUAUGGGUAUCUGCUGUGUUUUGCUUAUAUUUGAAGACAUGACCUCCUGCAUCUAUGCACCAACAUUAUUCAAUUUUUCUGGCUGCUGAGUUUGUGACAGUUCCCACUGAAUACCAUUUUACUUGAAAAGGAAGGAUCACUGAUUGACCAACCACACCUAUAGCCAUUUGAUGUUCCAGGAUUCCAUUGAUGGACCUGCCAAGAGACUCUUCUGCAAGCUGUUGUGAUCCAUAGUGAUAGCUUUAUGCAAAGUGUUAGUAUUUUGGCUUCCUUAUGUUUCCGCAUCCACUGGAGAACCAGCCAGAAAGGCUGAUGAAAUUACCAAUUUCUUUUUAAAUAAGUAUCAGCUUCUUGAAUACAAGGAAUUGAGAUGAAGUAUAUCAAAUCAGGAUCAAAUCAAGAUGGAAUAUAACUAGCCAUUUCCAUAGGAGGGAAGAAUCUGUUGAAUUAAGGCUGAAACUUGACAAAAUACAGAAUUUGCUGUUCUUGCAAACUGGCCUAAUAGUUGUUUGUUCCAAUGUAGUUGGCAAGCCUAUCCUUGUACAGAAAGUGUGGGAGUGGAUCUUAACUUGAAGAGAUGAGAGUGAAUAGUUUGGCCUUAUUUUAAAAUUCCAAAGUCCUGAGUGUGCAGUGUACUAAAGCUUUUAAUUUGGGACAAAGCUGAACAAAGAGGGCACAGAGGGGUAGAUAUCCUCACCUAUUGUAACAAAAAAUAACAGUAACCAGCCUUAAUGCCAUUAGCUUCAAUGCAUUAGAAUUCACAAACAUUUAUACUGUAAUAUAUUUGCUUGUCCAUAACAUACAGUUAGAUAUAUUGCUGUUGUUUCAUAUGAAAAUUUUCAUAGUGAAACACAGAUCUCUUUCUGGGCUGUCUACUAUAACAACACAUAUUAUAUAAGCAGAUCAGUGGUUUUUCCAUUCAACUUUACAUUUCUAGACUACUCAAUGAAUGAUACAACUAGAAUGGGACAUUAGUUGCAUCACUCUAAGACAAGAUCUUAAAAUUAUAACAGGGGCACUAGAGGGUUGUUAAAAACUGUGCCCUUUUCCAGGGCAGCAUCUUCCACAGAUUGCAUAGAAGCUAGAAAUGAUUGUCCAUCAAGUUCAGAAAAGUUAGGUAACAUGGGAUAGAAUUGAUGCUGCAGAUUAAAUAUGAGUGGUCUAUUGUCUCCCUAAGCCUAGCUUGCAAAGGAAAGUUUUCUUAUUAGUAUCAUAAAUGGCUUUUUCUUUCCCCAUCAUUAGCUCUGAACUGAGGAGGAGAAAGUAUGCCUGAGGGGGGGAAAUAGUUUACAUUAAAAAGGACCUCUCACCAAUAAAAGGUCCCUUUCUGUUUACUCUAGGAUGCUGUUGGUUUCCUUUGCAAAUGCUUUUUGAAAAGUGCAGCAGUGAGAAAGCAAAAAUUAAUGUACUUGAAUCAGUACAGGAAAGCAAAGACCAAUUGUGAUUAUAAAGAUAAAGGAGAAGUCAAUUAGGGAGGGGUAAAGGAAAGAUUUUGCAGAUAGAGAUGCGUGUUAUUAGCAUUAGGAAGAUAAGCUUAAUUGCAAAAUGAAGCGCCACUGUGUUCUCACACCCACAACAGAUGAGACAUACAGUAUGUAUUGACUUAACUUAGGGCACAAUUAUAUUAAAGAGAAAUCUGGAAUAGUGCUUCUUCCUAUAAAGUCUAGGCUUAAGAAUUGCAAGGUGGUUAAAGCACCGCUUCAUCAGCAUCCUCCAUGCCAUAGGCCUCCCAUUUUUGAACUGCAAACUUUAAAAUACCUCACAAAUCCUAGCGUGGCCCUUGGGACAAUUGAAGAUGUGCACUCUUGUUACAAAUGUUUCUCUGUAUAUAUAAAACUAGCAUCUCUGAGGUUGC